AAAAUGUAAUGAUUUCAGAA
rnacentral:miRNA from 1 species